GUGGCCACAUCCACCUGGUGGGACAGCAGGGCAAGGCAGAGGCAGCCCUGGGCUGGCCUCAGUGUCAGUGGACCCUGGAUGGACAUCCAUGUGCCAGCACAGGCCUGUUGUGUUGGGGUGCAGUGACCUCGAAACAGAGGCCAAGGCCUUCAGGCCAUCCUUCCUGGAUUUCUCUCCUGCUGUGUCCGCAGAGCUGCCUCUGGGCCUUGGGACCCUCAGUGCUCCCUCAAGUAGGAUCCUGGAGACCAUCUGGGCCCUGGGAUUUUCCACUCCUGUUCGGAGCCCCACAGACACCCCUGGAGGACCCUGUCACCCACUGGCCGUCUCAGGUGGGGGUGGGGAUGCUUCAUGUGUUCACCCUCCCAGCACUUUGAGCACUUUCUUCACUCAGCACAGAUUUGCUGAGCUCCUGUUAUACCCCAAGGUACUCUCUAGCUAUCGCCCUGUGCACUAGAUAUGGGUCCAAGGCCAAGGGUUAGACACUGGGGAGACAGGAUAUAGAAAAAUAUGAAACGACAGGUCUCCUCAAAGAGGCCAGAUGAGACCUGUACACUAAUAGCGUGUAUACACCCCGGAGUGGGAGAGAGUGCUUUCUGCUCCUGCCUGUGAAACAAGGCCUGAACAGGGCCGAAGCCCAGACCUGAGGGCAGACCGAGAUCCUCACCAGCCCGUGGUUGUCAGGCUGUGGGGAGACCAGUCAUCUACCCCCACUAGUAACGUUGGGGGAGCUGGCUUGGGGCCCUGGUUUUCCCAGGUUCACUUAAAAUAGGAUCUCCAACACAGCCCCUCUUCUGAAACCCCUACUGGAUGUUACAUGUCACCCCUCAUGGUGACGGUUACAGCUCAGGAGCCCCAUUUUUUACAAAAGUUGUAAAAAUCUCCCGUUGACAAUAAGAAAGCAUAACUAACACAACCCAGCAGCUCAGGGGCGUGGCCUCGUUCUACAACUCUUGCCUGGACCAGGCGCUGCUGUCUUAACCAACUCCUGAUCCUGGGACGGCCCUGCUCAGGCAAGAGGGAAAAUAGUGACAGCUAAUGCUGUGGGCUCCUUACCAUGUGCCAGUCACUAAGUACUCAACAUCUAUCAACUCACUGAAUACUGAGACAACCUCCCAGCUAGAAGCCACUGUUAUCCCACCUUAGAGAGGGGAACUUGAGGCACAGAGCUUAUUAACUUGCCUAAGGCCUCACAGCAGAGCCAGGAUUCUUACCCGGGUUUGGAGCACUAGAAUCCAUAUGGCUCUAGGAAAGAAAAAAGAGCACUUACUUCCCAGCUUUAGGUCCCUGGUCAGAGCCUCAUUGUGCCCAGUUACCCAUGAGGUUAGGUUAAUGAUAGAGCGAGUGUGUAUAUUUUGCAGUUCAACCUGUCGUCCUGG
rnacentral:lncRNA from 1 species